AAGGAAACUGGUUAAUGAAAAUCAAACAAAUUGGGACAAAUAUCUUGCUGUUAUUUUAUAUCCACUGCGAGUGGAGAGACAACAAUCUACGAAAGUAUCCCCGUUUGAAAUAAUGUUUAGCGGUCGAUCACCUGUUUGUACUUGUGACUUUGAAGAAAACAAAACGUUAGUGGAAGCAACAGUUGAAGAUAUAACGAGAGAAACGGAAGAAAUAAAACUUCAAAUUAAAAAUCUCACAAGUUUGGUUUAUAAGAACAUUACAGAUGCUCAAACAAAAGCUACACUACGAUAAAAGAGUAUUAAAAUGUACAAAAAUAGUUGAGAGUCCAUUGGUGUCGAAGAUAAAGUAUUGUUACUUGACAUAAGAGGUCGACGUUCAAAAGGCGCAGCAUUCAAGCCACGCUUUAAGGGACCGUUUACUGUAUCCCAUGUAACGCAAUGUGGGAACUUUAGGUUAAAAGACGACAACGGUGUGCAAAUAUCGGGGUCGCACAAAAAAAUACAUGAAAGUAAUGUAAAAGAUGAUGUCAGUGUUAUAGAUUUGGCUAAUAACAAUAUUUCGAUCGACAGAACACAUAAGGUUGCUGAUUCAAAGGUACAAAGGGCAAAGAUAGCCAAAAGUCAGGGAACGAACAACAAAGUUUCAAAGGACGCAAAAUCCGAUGAAAAAGGUCAAAGUUGUGUUAUCGAAAACAGUGAAGGAUUUGGAAUAAUUGAAUGCAUUACAAAUCUAAAACCAGUUAAAGCAAUAAUGGGUUUAAUGUUAUUUAAUGAAAUGGGGGACAGUAAAAUAUAUGACUACUCGCUGAAAAAAACUCUAACUGAUUGUCUAAGUGAUGAAAUAGUUUACAUUUAUCUGAGGUUACUUGCGAGCAAACAAGAUAAGUAAGAUUU